rnacentral:lncRNA from 1 species
GUUUACUCCUGCAGAGAAAGAUGUGCCUAAAAGAGAAGCAGCACCUACCUGGAAGACUCAGGAGACAAAGAGGGAAAGAGUGGGACACAGUGGAUUAUGCUCACCCUGAGGGUUAUCUGAGAAGAUUUCUGAGAACCUGAGAGUCUCAAAUGCCUGAGAGGUGGGAGCUGCAUAGAGAGGAACAGAAAUGAAUCCCCAAGAUUUCCUGGGCUGAGCCUAACAGGAUAUGAGAAGCAGAAACUUCUGGAUUGUGAGAAGAAACAAAGGAAGAAGAGAGAUGCUCUAUAGGAGAAAAAUCACAGACAAUAAGUGGGGAGAGCAAGAAGACA